rnacentral:rRNA from 1 species
CCUACGGGCGGCAGCAGUGAGGAAUAUUGGUCAAUGGCCGCAAGCCUGAACCAGCCAAGCAGCGUGAAGGACGAAGGUCCCACGCAUUGUAAACUUCUUUUGUCAAGGAACAAAAUCAGGCUCGCGCGCCUUACCGAAUGUACUUUAAGAAAAAGCAUCGGCUAACUCCGUGCCAGCAGCCGCGGUAAUACGGAGGAUCCGAGCGUUAUCCGGAUUUAUUGGGUUUAAAGGGUGCGUAGGCGGGCUGUUAAGUCAGGGGUCAAAGCCCGGGGCUCAACCCCAGGAGAGCGGUUGAAACUGGCAGUCUUGAGAGGUGGAGAGGUAGGCGGAAUGCGUAGUGUAGCGGUGAAAUGCUUAGAUAUCGCGCAGAACUCCGAUUGCGAAGGCAGCCUACUGGAGGGGAUCUGACGCUGAGGCACGAAAGCGUGGGUAUCGAACAGGAUUAGAUACCCGAGUAGUC